rnacentral:rRNA from 1 species
UACAGAGGGUGCAAGCGUUAAUCGGAAUUACUGGGCGUAAAGCGCGCGUAGGUGGUUUGUUAAGUUGGAUGUGAAAUCCCCGGGCUCAACCUGGGAACUGCAUUCAAAGCUGACAAGCUAGGGUAUGGUAGAGGGUGGUGGAAUUUCCUGUGUAGCGGUGAAAUGCGUAGAUAUAGGAAGGAACACCAGUGGCGAAGGCGACCACCUGGACUGAUACUGACACUGAGGUGCGAAAGCGUGGGGAGCAAACAGG